rnacentral:lncRNA from 1 species
AAAAAGCUCAUCAGGAAACUGGUUCUUAGCUCUUUUUAGAGUGCUGAUAAAGUUGUGACACAUACCUGAUAUCCUUCAGAUUUGACGACAAAGAACAUCUCGAAAGCUUCUCCCUUUUUAAAAGGGGUUGUCAGAGACACUUUCCUCAGCCUCCCAUCCUCCGUUCCUGAAGCUGUUCAUGACCACCUUCCGGUCCAUUCGAGGGUUGAAGUGGAAAGCAAUGUCAUCAUUGUCAGAUGGCCCAGUCUUGAAAUUUAGUUCAAAUCUGCAUGGAAGAUGAAACAUUUUAAAUCAACCAAAUCCAAACAACAAUUGUUAAAUAAAAUUAACAAUUUGUUUUGACCAAAUUGCCCAACAAAACAAUUCCUUACCGGUCAGCAUUAGCAGGAACAACUCCCUGCAAGUACAAGGCCAUGCCUUCUCUCAGUCCUCCUGAAAUUGGGGCCACAUAAGGAAGGUUCUGCAGUAAACACAAGAAAAUAUGCAUCAGUCCCUAUUAAUAAGCAUCAGCAUAAAUUAACC